rnacentral:rRNA from 1 species
GAGGGGCAGCGGGGAGUGAGGCUUGCCUUACUCUGCCGGCGACCGGCGCACGGGUGAGUAACACGUAUGCAACCUACCCUUUACAGCGGGAUAACCGGAAGAAAUUUCGCCUAAUACCGCAUAUACUCCUUGGGAGGCAUCUUCCGAGGGGGAAAGAAUUUCGGUGAAGGAUGGGCAUGCGUCGCAUUAGUUAGUUGGCGGUGUAACGGACCACCAAGACGACGAUGCGUAGGGGUUCUGAGAGGAAGGUCCCCCACACUGGUACUGAGACACGGACCAGACUCCUACGGGAGGCAGCAGUGAGGAAUAUUGGUCAAUGGCCGAGAGGCUGAACCAGCCAAGUCGCGUGAGGGAAGAAUGUCCUAUGGAUUGUAAACCUCUUUUGUCAGGGAGCAAAGUCACCCACGUGUGGGUGUUGGAGAGUACCUGAAGAAAAAGCAUCGGCUAACUCCGUGCCAGCAGCCGCGGUAAUACGGAGGAUGCGAGCGUUAUCCGGAUUUAUUGGGUUUAAAGGGUGCGUAGGCGGGUUAUCAAGUCAGCGGUAAAAUCGUGGAGCUCAACUCCAUCCAGCCGUUGAAACUGAUGAUCUUGAGUGGGCGAGAAGUAUGCGGAAUGCGUGGUGUAGCGGUGAAAUGCAUAGAUAUCACGCAGAACUCCGAUUGCGAAGGCAGCAUACCGGCGCCCGACUGACGCUGAAGCACGAAAGCGUGGGUAUCGAACAGGAUUAGAUACCCUGGUAGUCCACGCAGUAAACGAUGAAUACUAAUUGUGUGCUCCGAAUGAGGAGUGCGUGAUACAGCGAAAGCGUUAAGUAUUCCACCUGGGGAGUACGCCGGCAACGGUGAAACUCAAAGGAAUUGACGGGGGCCCGCACAAGCGGAGGAACAUGUGGUUUAAUUCGAUGAUACGCGAGGAACCUUACCCGGGCUCAAACGCAGGAGGGAUGUUUUUGAAAGGAGGCAGCUCUACGGAGUCUCCUGCGAGGUGCUGCAUGGUUGUCGUCAGCUCGUGCCGUGAGGUGUCGGCUUAAGUGCCAUAACGAGCGCAACCCCUACCGCCAGUUGCCAACGGGUAAAGCCGGGAACUCUGGCGGGACUGCCGGCGCAAGCUGUGAGGAAGGCGGGGAUGACGUCAAAUCAGCACGGCCCUUACGUCCGGGGCGACACACGUGUUACAAUGGCAGGUACAGCGGGAAGCCACUUGGCGACAAGGCGCGGAACCCGAAAACCUGUCUCAGUUCGGAUUGGAGUCUGCAACCCGACUCCAUGAAGCUGGAUUCGCUAGUA